rnacentral:rRNA from 1 species
AGCAGCCGCGGUAAUUCCAGCUCCAAUAGCGUAUAUUAAAGUUGUUGCAGUUAAAAAGCUCGUAGUUGAAUUUCGGGAUCAAUACGUCGGUCGUGCUUAGGUACGUACUGGCGUAAUUGAUUUCUCCCUUCUGACGAACCAUGAUGUCAUUAACUUGGUGUCAUGGGAAAUCAGGACUGUUACUUUGAAAAAAUUGAGUGUUUAAAGCAGGCUCACGCUUGAAUACAUUAGCAUGGAAUAAUGAAAUAGGACGUUCGAUCCUAUUUUGUUGGUUUUAGGAUCAACGUAUGAUUAAUAGGGAUAGUUGGGGGCAUUAGUAUUCAAUUGUCAGAGGUGAAAUUCUUGGAUUUAUUGAAGACUAACUACUGCGAAAAGCAUUUGCCAAGGAUGUUUUCAUUAAUCAAGAACGAAAGUUAGGGGAUCGAAGACGAUCAGAUACCGUCGUAGUCUUAACCAUAAACCU